rnacentral:lncRNA from 1 species
UUGUUGAGGGUUAUGGAACUAUUAUGAGCUGACUCACUGACUUUCUUUCUUUUGUUCAGCUUGAUUCUGUAAACUGUUGGCACAUGACCAAAGUAAAAAUCAACUGAAAUCGAAAGAAAGAUACGUAGUCAAUUGACAUAAACUGAUAAAAUUAAUUAUAUACCAAUCAGAAACCACGGUUGAAAUUCUCCGGCGCCAUGGCGGUUUGACGAACUUAGCUUACUGACAAUUUCACUAAGAGAUGAUUUGGGGGUUUUAUAGUUGGGUGCAUCGUGGAGGAUGAGAUCAGAUAGGCUAAUGGAAUCUAGGGUUAAUUCUCCCCAAUACGGUGGAUGUCAACUCCGGUGAUCUUGCAGUAAUGGACCUGGGCUGAAACAAUUACCGAUGGGACGCAGUCAAGACAACAAAUUAAAUUAACAUGAUCAGGUCUGUCAGGGCCAGACGAAAGAACUCGGAGGAUGCUGUUGUGGGAGAAGACGACGAUGGCGGACCGAGCCUGCUUCAUGGAAUAUUAAAGGUAUAAUGAGUUGACGCUUAUCCGCGCGUUGCAGCAGGAUGUUAAUUAUAUGCCAACAUGUUACAGUUUAAACAUCAAUAUGUCUAAACCUAUAAUACUUUGUCAAAAUAACCGCGACAAAGUUCUAGCGGCCAAAAAGACGAAAGAACCGUCCCCGGUAAAGCUUAGUCAUGAUGAUACACCGUUGCGGUAGGUGAUCACACAACUCUCUCAUGCAUCGUAGCCACUUUAUCACAUCGAUGCGGAGAGGAUCCACUCCAAAUCAGACUCGUCAGAUCAAGAGAAAUUUUCUGACCAAAUCGCCAUGUGGACCUUAUCACCAACACUCGUGGACAUCACCAUAACCUUCCCCCGUAUGUCUAACGGCUUAAAACCCAUGUAGUGAUGAAAUAAAUUCAAAUGUAUGAGUAGUAUUAUAUUAUACACUAUAAAAAUUAUGGAUCGUGUCAUCAAGUAUGUUAAGUAUGUUCUAAAGGGUGUUUGUACACUUUUAUUUGUAACUUGUAUUUCAUAAUAUCAUAAAUAGUUUUC